AUGAAUACAGGCUCAGGCACAGAUCGCAAGGUGAAAUUGAAUGCCUGCAAUAAUGGAUUUCUUGGAGAUCAGACUCAUCUCCAGCUGAACACGGUGAUGUACCCCAGCGUGGCAGCUAUGCUGAUGUUCAUGAUUUUAAUCCUGGGACUUGCUAACACUACAGUCUCUGGUAUCAACGAUCAGCCAAACGGGCAGGUUUUUGUACAGCAAAUUCAUCAGACUCAAUCACUGAGGCGUACUUUCGGUGGCGGGACCAAAUUGGAAAUCGGCAGUGACACAGUUCCCACCCUCACAGUCCUGCCCCCCUCCAGUGUGAAGCUAGAGAAGGGAAAGGCCACACUGGUGUGUCUGGCCAACAAGGGCUUCCCCUCAGACUGGACUCUGCGCUGGAAAGUGGACGGUGCCAGCAGGAGCUCGGGCGUGGCCGGGAGCGUGGGGGUCCUGGGGAAGGACGGUCUGUACAGCUGGAGCAGCUCCCUGACUCUCAGUGAGGAAGACUGGAUGAAGGCAGGGUCACUGACCUGUGAGGCCACAAAGGGCUCCCUGUCUGCCCCCCCUCAGACACUGAGCAGAGCCCACUGUUCUUAGUAGGCCGGGUGGAGGCCCAGCUCACACACUGUGAUCACACUGUUUUUACCCUGUUCUGCUCCUUACUGCUGUCACACUGAGCUGAGCCUGUGUGUGAAUCCUUCCUCCAGCCUGAGCUUUCAGUGCUAAUAUCUGACAUGUGCUCUGCUUGUGUUCUUCAGCAAUAUGCAAACAUGCAUUCUUAUUUGCGUUUCUGUGAUUUUGGCAAGAGCUGUUAAAUCAACAUCAUUGACAUAAUAAAGAUUAUUUGAAGAGA